ensembl:lncRNA
AUGUUUGGCCAGGUAGCAGCCAGCACUGCGCCAAGCCUGUUUGGGCAGCAGACAGGCAGCAUAGCCAGCACAGCUGCCACCACACCACAGGCCAACAGCUCAGGGUUUGGCAGUCCCUCUUUUGGUACCUCAGCCCAGGGGUCUUCGGACAGGCAACUUUUGGGCAGGCCCCAGCCUUUGGGCAGGCAACCAGCAGCCCUGCAAGCAGCUUCUCCUUCAGUCAGCCUGGGUUCAGUUCCGGGCCUGCUUUUGGCCAGUCCGUCUCCUCCACCCCAACAUCCACCAGUGGGAAUGUCUUUGGUGCCUCCUCAACUACCAGUAGCUCCGGUUCCUUCUCAUUUGGACAGUCUUCUGCCAACACAGGAGGGGGGCUGUUUGGCCAAAGCAACCCUCCUGCUUUUGGUCAGAGCCCUGGCUUUGGGCAGGGAGGCUCUGUGUUUGGUGGCCCCUCAGCCACCACCUCCACAGCAGCACCUUCGGGGUUUAGCUUUUGUCAAGCUUCAGGUUUUGGGUCUAGUAAUACUGGUUCUGUAUUUGGUCAAGCAGCCAGUACUGGUGGAGCAGUCUUUGGCCAGGUAAAUGUGUGUCAUCUCUAUUCAUGUGACAUCUGUCCAUUUUCCCCGGGAUAACAUAAUCAGCUUGUGCUGUGUAUCCAUAUCCAGCAAGAGACUGUAUAAUGCUCAAGCUCCAGUUUCCUGCCUUGAGGAUGCAGAGGUCUCCACCUUAGAUUAGAGAGUCACAGGAUUUUGGCCCUUCUUUGGCAGUCCUCUGGGAAAGGACUUGUGCCUGGCUUUGUCAAUGUCCUGUUGGUUCUGUUAGGCCAAAGGUUGACAAGCCGCAACCUGUAGGCCUUGUUUUAUUUAAAGUUCUUGAGCUAAGAAUGUUCUUACAUUUUUAAAUGGUUGUUUGGGGAUGGAUGGAAGAAUGUACAGCAGAGACCACAUGUGGCCCUUGAGCUGAGCUGUCUACAGUCUCAGGCCUCCUUCUGGUAACCUGAACUUUUGUACUUUUAUAUGUAACAGCAGCAUCUUUGCCCAGGCAGAGUUUUAAGUUCCUCAUUCAGAUAACUCUUAUAAUCAUCUCAGCUUCUCUGCAUGUAGGUGCUGUUAUUAUUACCCCCAUUCAAAAAAUGAAAACAGUGGGGAUUCAGAGAUUGUUUUACUCCAGCUGUACAGUGGCCACAUAAGGACCCUAUUUUUUCCUUUUUCCUUUGAAGAAGUGUCUGCCCUAGUCAGUGAUCUUUCUUAGAGGGAAAUGAAACUUUUGAUUUUCAGUUUCUGGUAAUGGAACCCUAAGUCAUUCAAACUAAGUUCCCCACCAAAACCAACAAAAAAUACAGAUAAAACCUAGAAAACAAUUUAUUUAUUUAUUAUUGGCGCUGGGUUUGAACUCAGGGCCUUGCAUUGCUAGGCAAGAUACUGCACCACUUGAGCCAUGCCUCCAACCCCUUCUCCUUCCUCCCACCCCAUUUUUUUUGUUUUUGUUUUUUCUUUUAGUUACCCUUCAGAUAGGGUCUUGCAUUUUUGCCUGGGGCUGGCUUAGAACAACCAUGAUCUGCCUACCUAUAGCCUCCCAGGUAACUGAGAUUAUAAGCAUGUACCACCAGGCCUGACUAACUUUUUGCUCAAGCUGGCCUCAAGCCAACAUCCUUCGGCCUCCUGAGUAGCUGGAAUUUCAGACAUGAGCUCAGUGCCUGGCCUGGAAACCAUAUUUUUUUAAAGCAUUGCUAAGCUAACAAAGUGUUCACCAAGCCAAAUUUAAAAGAAAAUGAGAACCUAAAGAAAGAAAGUGGAACACAGAAGCCUUUUCUGUCCCAAGGGCAUUCACUGACCUGAGAAAAUAUGAAUUUUUGUGUUUAAGAACCCCACAGGCAAAGGGACAGAAAUUAAUAAGAUGUGUACAAGUUGAGGAUUCCAAAAGAACCCGUACCCAUAAUAAACUGGAACUUCAGAUUCA